GGAGCUCGACUGCGAGCCUAAGGGGCUCGGUUCCGAGCCUAAGGAGCUGGCUCCGAACCUAAGGAGCUCGGCUCCGAGUCUAGAGAGCUUGCCUCCGAGCCUAAGGAGUUUAAGAUUGAAUCAUUGAAUCUCAGAUUGAAUCAUUGAAUCUUAAGAGUGAAGCAUUGAAUCAUAAGAGUGAAUCAUUGAAUCCUAAGAUUGAAUCAUUGAAUCAUAAGAGUGAAUCAUUGAAUCCUAAAGCCAUUCGAGCUCUGCUCCGAGCCAUUCGAGCUCCGCUCCGAGCCAUUCGAGCUCGACUCUAAGCCUAAGUUAUGUUGAACAUAUCAAUAUAGCGGGAGGAUUAUUAAGGAUAAGGAAGAUAAGAAGAAACAAGAUAUAUAAAGAUAAGGAUAAGGAAGAUAAAGGUAAGGAUAAGAAAGAUAAAGAUAAGGUUAAGGAAGAUAAGAUAAAGAUAAGGAAGCUAAGGAAGAUAAAGAUAAGGAUGAUAAGGAAGAUAAAGACUUAGAUAAGGAUAAAGAAUAUAAAAAGAUAAAGAUAAGAAGAUAAAUUUAAGGAUAAGGAAGAUAAAAAUAAGGAUAAGGAAGAUAAGAAGAUAAAGAUAAGGAUAAGGGAGAUGAAGAUAAGAAGAUCAAGAUAAGAAGAUAAGGAUAAGGAAGAUAAGGAUAAGGAAGAUAAAGAUAAGGAAGAUAAGAAGAUGAAGACAAGGAAUAUAAAAAGAUAAAGAUAAGGAUUCCGAACCAUUCCAGCUCGGCUCCGAGCCUAAGUUGUGUUGAACAUAUCAAUAUAGCGAGAGGAUUAUUAUUCCACUAUGUAGAACAUUCUA